GAUGAAGAACGCAGCGAAAUGCGAUAAGUAAUGUGAAUUGCAGAAUUCAGUGAAUCAUCGAAUCUUUGAACGCACAUUGCGCUCCCUGGAAUUCCGGGGGGCAUGCCUGUUCGAGCGUCUCAGGGACGAACCCUCGCGCGGGUGUACGCGCGGUCGUGGCUGCGGUGGCGUGCCCGAGGCGGCGGCCACCGCGCUGGAAUCCAUGGGCGGACGCCUGCCGCGUGGCCGAGCGUGAUAUGACGCAUUGGCGCUCGCACGCGGAGAGGCUGCCAGCCCUGGCCCGUCUGUCGGGCGGGGGAGAGCAAGACACGUGAACUCCUCGAAUCAGGUAGGGAUACCCGCUGAACUUAAGCAUAUCAAUAAGCGGAGGA
rnacentral:misc_RNA from 1 species